AUUGACUCAAGAGAUCCUGGGUAUUAGAAUUCUAAACAGAACACACACGCUGUGAUAUCAAUUGCAGGCGGUUGAUGUUAAAUAUCUUCCAUUUUAUAUGACGUAGUGGAGGGGAACAUCUUUUUCGAGUUUCAAACUAAUAAAGACAAGCCCUCUUUGACCUGCUUCUAAAAGUUAUUUAGUUUCUUUAUCAUUGCCUAAGCGAGUUAUGUUUUGCAUCUUCUUUGCGUCUAUAUUUAUGAGGAUAUGUGCACCUAAGUAGCGUCAUGGCAGAAAUCUACUUUUGCCACCCUGUUAAAGAGAUCUUUCUUGUCCACCCAGUAUGUUAAAUCUGUUUAAAAAGAAUAUUUUCCAAGAUCAUACAUUUUCUCUUCUGAGUCUAAGCUUUGCACUAGUUUGCUAAUUUAGUUAUUAAAGCAAGGAAAACAUAAGACGGUAGAUCUGAAGUUCAUGACACAUUAUCACACUGAAGAUUUGGAUUUGGACAAAGAUAUAAGAUAUAAGCUGAUUUAUGGCUGCAAUUGAAGUGAUAGAUGGAACUAGCUUGGGAUUGAUGGGAUUGAGGCGCAGUUGUUGAUGUUGUCAUGUUAAAGUGGCAGAUGGUUUGGGCAAAAGUAGAUCACAGAUAAGGAUGUAAAAGUGGACUAGUUCUCAAGCAUAACUCCACAAGGUUAAGAUUGUAAAGUGCUUCAUGCAGCAUAUCUCUGUAGAAAUCUCUUUUAAUCAAGUGGCAGGACUCUGUUCUUUGAGCUUCCUUGAACAGGUCAACCAUUACAUUGGGAGAGGCCAUCUUUUUAACCACAACAUUAUCUUGAUCAAAGCAUAGUGCUACUAUGAGGGUAGGAUUCUUGGUGCUCAGUUCGGAUUGAUCUCAACUUAUGCAUUAGAGAUACUAGUCUUGCAUAUAGUUAAUCGGUUUCAUUCAUCUACAGAUGAUCCUUUGGCGGUGAAGAUUGUAAGGUGCUUCGUGCAGCAUAUCUCUGUAGACAUCUCUUUUAAUCAAGUGGCACGACUCUGUUCUUUGAGCUUCCUUUAACAGGUCAACCAUUAUAUUGGGAGAGGCCAUAUUUUUAACCACAACAUUAUCUUGACCAAAGCCCGGUGCUACUAUGAGAGUAGGAUUCUUGGUGCUCAAUCCAGAUUGAUCUCAACUUAUGCAUUAGAGAUACUAGUCUUGCAUAUAUUUAAUCGAUUUCAUUCAUCUGUAGAUGGUCCUUUGGCGGUCUUGCAUUGGUUCUUGGACUACUAUCAUACAUUUGAUUGGGAAAACUAUGGCAUCAGUAUAUAUGGUCCAUUUACGAUUAAGUGCCUAGAAGAUAUUGUUAGUGAGUUAAAAAAGCAACUACUAUACACGCACGUUGCACAUGAUAGUCACGGAUAACAUAAAGUAAAUGUUUCAUUAUUUUUUCUAAAAGUAUGUACCGAUAAAUUAGUACUAGAAAUACUGAAAGAAAUCUUUUGAAGUCUUCAUAUUAUACAGUUUGUUUGUUCACUCUUUAUUAUAUUAUUUAUAACGAAGUAAAAUAUUAAAGCGCAUAGUUUUAUUUUUUAUCAUAAGAAAAAUGAUGUUUCGGUUUUUAGGCUUUUUUAAUUUCUACCCCAACAUUUGCAAUUUGUUUUCUCCUAAUUGAAAUUUUAAAGUAGGUACAAAUAAGUUUGUGAUAGAGAAUUAAGCAUUUUAGCUGUGCUCUUUUCAUGAUCCACUUAGUUUCUUUUUUUGGUAACCGUGAUGAGCAUACUUUCUUGUAUGUAUAUUGGUCAACAUUUCUUGUCUAAAUGUUAUUACUAUUUUUGUGUUUCUUCUAAUUAGUUUCUCUUAAGUGUGAGUUAAUUGUUUGUGUACCUCUUGAUAAAGCUAUUCCACGAACUUUCUAGAGUAAUGACAAUAGAUAUCUUCUUGAUAUCUAUUGUAAAGUGCAUAGUUGAUUAUCUAUUUUUUUAUUUUGUAUUGUCAGGUGAAGAUUGCAAAGUGCUUCGUGCAACAUAUCUCUGUAGACAUCUCCUUUAAUCAAGUGGCAGGACACUGUUCUUUGAGCUUCCUUGAACAGAUUUAAAUCUAUUGCAAGUUUUCUAACAAAAUCCCAAUGCUGUCAUCCGUGUAGCGUCUAUUGAAUAAACACCAAGUCAUAUUCUUGGUGAUUUUUAAUCACUGUUCUUGUGAUGCUAAGUCACUUCAUGUCCUUUUUUCUUUCUCUAUCGCUUUCAAACCACUAAUGAAAAAGAGGAGGGCAAGGAAGACACCUUCGGAUUACGAGUUGCCCAUUGCUGUUUUGCCUAUAUCCCUCUUGUUCCUAAACCCACUUCUAUUGAGCUUUUAUUCAACUAAAAGCUCUGUUGCACUAAAUUUUUGUUUUUGGCCUGAUAUUUCACCCUCUGAUGCAAAUUUUAUAGGUCAACCAUUACAUUGGGAGAGGCCAUCUUUUUAACCACAACAUUAUCUUCAUCAAAGCCUGGGCUACUAUGAGGGUAUGAUUCUUGGUGCUCAGUCCGGAUUGAUCUCAACUUAUGCAUUAGGGAUACUAGUCUUGCAUAUAGAUAAUCGGUUUCAUUUAUCUGUAGACGGUCCUUUGGCGGUGAGUCUGUAAGUUAGUAUUUGUUAUUUUAACAUAAAUAUAUAAUAACCAAAUGUGAUUUGUGAAUUUGUAGGUCUUGUAUAAGUUCUUGGACUACUAUCAUAUAUUUGAUUAGAAAAACUAUGGCAUCAGUAUAUAUGGUCCAUUUGCGAUUAAGUACCUACAAGAUAUUGUUGGUGAGUUAAAAAAGCAACUACUAUGCACGAACGUUGCACAUGAUAGUCACGGAUAACAUAAAGUAAAUGUUCUAUUAUUUGUUCUAAAAGUAUAUAACGAUAAAUUAGUUAUAGAAAUACUGAAAGAAAUCUUUUAUAGUCUUCUUAUUAUAGAGUUUGUUUGUUUACUCUUUAUUAUAUUAUUUAUAACGAAAUAAAAUGUUAAAGCGCAUAGUUUUAUUUUUGAUCAUAAGAAAAAUGAUGUCUUAGUUUCCAGGCUUUUUUUGAAUUCUAUCCCAACAUUUGCAAUUUUUUUUAUCCUAAUUGAAAUUUUAAAGCAGGUACAAAUAAAUUUGUGAUAGAGAACUAAGCAUUUUAUCUGUACUCUUUUCAUGAUCCAUUUAGUUUCUUUUUUUUGGUAACCGUGAGCCACUUACAUUCUUGUCUUUAUAUUGGUCAACAUUUCUCGUUUGAAUGUCAUUACUAUUUUUGCGGUUCUUCUAAUUAGUUUCUCUUAGGGUGGGAGUUAAUUGUUUGUGUUCCUCUUGAUAUAGCUAUUCCAUGAACUUUCUAGUGUAAUGACAAUAGAUAUCUAUUCUUGAUAUCUUUUGUAAAGUGCAUAGUUGAUUAUCUAUUCUUUUGAUUUUGUGUUGUCAGGUGAAGAUUGUAAAGUGCUUCGUGCAUCAUAUCUCUGUAGACAUCUCCUUUAAUGAAGUGGCAGUACUCUGUUUUUUGAGCUUCCUUCAGUAGUUUUGAAUCUAUUGCUGUUUUGCUAACAAAAUCCCAAUGCUGUCAGCUUUGUAACGUCAGUUGAAUUAACACCAAGUCAUAUUCCUGAUCAUUGUUCUUGUGAUGCUAAGUCACUUCACAUCCUUUUUUAUUUCUCUAUCCCUUUCAAACCACCAGUGAAAAGAGGAGGGCAGGGAAGAAACCUUCGGAUUACGAGCUGCCCAUUGCUUUUUUGCCUAUAUCCCUCUUGUUCCUAAACCCACUUCUAUUGAGCUUUUAUUCAACUAAAAGCUCUGAUGCAGUUAAUUUUUGUAUUUUUUCUUGUAUUUCACCCUCUGUUGCAAAUUCUACCGGUCAACCAUUACAUUGGGAGAAGCCAUCUUUUUUAACACAAUAUUAUCUAGUAGGUUUGAUUCUUGGUGCUCAGUCCGGAUUGAUCUCAACUUAUACAUUAGAAAUAUUCACAUAUAAUUGAUCAGUUUCAUUCAUCUGUAGAUGGACCUUUGGCGGUCUUGUAUAAGUUCUUGGACUACUACCAUACAUUUGAUUGGGAAAACUAUGGCAUCAGUAUAUAUGGUCCAUUUGCGAAUAAGUGCCUAUAAGAUAUUGUUGGUCAACCAUUACAUUGGGAGAAGCUUUCUUUUUUAGCACAACAUUAUUUUGUAGGUCUUGUAUAGGUUCUUGGACUACUAUCAAUCAUUUGAUUGGGAAAACUAUGGCAUCAGUAUUUAUGGUCCAUUUGCGAAUAAGUGCCUACAAGAUAUUGUUGGUGAAGAUUGUAAAGUGCUUCGUGCAGCAUAUCUCUGUAGACAUCUUCUUUAAUGAUGUGACAGGUCUCUGUUCUUUGAGUUCCUUGAACAGAUCAAUCAUUACAUUGGGAGAAGCCAUCUUAUUAAGCACAACAUUAUCUUGAUCAAAGUCUGGUGCUGCUAUGAGGGUGAAGAUUGUAAAUUGCUUCGUGCAACAUAUCUCUGUAGACAUCUCCUUUAAUGAAGUGACAGUACUCUGUUCUUUGAGCUUUCUUAAACAGGUUCUUGGACUACUAUCAUACAUUUGAUUGGGAAAACUAUGACAUCAGUAUAUAUGGUCCAUUUGCGAUUAAGUGUCUUCAAGAUAUUGUUGUCAAGGAUAAAAUGCCUGAAACCACCGAGAUCAGUCCUGCUAUCACCACAACCGGUGAUUAGCAAAAUGUCCAAGCACCUUACCAGUUGAAUGGACAAAAUUUUCUGAAAUGGUCACAGUUCGUUCGGACAUUCUUGAAAGGCAAAGGAAAGUUAAGUCAUCUGUUGGGUACGGGCCCGUCUAAGGAAGAUCCCAAGUUUGAAGCCUGGGAUGAGCAAGACUCAAUGGUCAUGUCUUGGCUCUGGAAUUCAAUGAUUCUAGAAAUAAGUGAUACAGUGAUGUUUCUGAGUACGGCUAAGGAGAUAUGGAAAGCAAUCCAACAAACCAUACUCAAAGGGGCUGUGGCAAGAGAUUAAUCACUACCAAAUUGCAAAGAUGGCAUUUGUGGAGGGGGAGGAGUGAUUAGGAACAAUGAUGGCCACCUAAUUUGCGCAUACAUCCUCCUUUUGGGGCCUGGAACGAGUAACUGGGCAGAAGCACAAGCUCUGUUAUUUGGUAUUAAUUAGUGCAUUACUAAAAGGUUGAAUCAUUUUAUAGCUGAAAGUGAUUCAAAAUUGUUAGUAGACUGUGUGAAUGGAUUCUACAAAAGUUCUUGGCGAAUAUCUCAAGAAGUGGAAGAAUUAAGAAGACAUAAAGAACAAAAUGGGUUUGUCUUGACACACUGCGUCAGGGAAGCUAACCAUGCUACUGACAGGAUGGUAGCAUUGAGCUAUAAUCUCUCUCAAAGCAAAUCUUUCACAACUUUACAUCCCUUCAAAGUCACAUUAGAGGGAUCCUUAAUGUUGAUAGAUGGAAUCUGCCUAAUUUUCGUAUAUCAAACAAGAAAAAGACUGGCAUUGUUUAUCAUCCACCGUGAUUGAAAGUAGUGCGUCUGGCGGUAAUCCUUAAACACUUCGUUUUGUAUAAAAAGAUAGAAUUGUCUAUCUUUCAACCUUUUCUUAGGGAGUUUAUAGGUUUUGGCUUCUCCCUCAACCCAAUGUAAUAUGCUGUCGGAGAUGAAUAAAAUGCGUAUUUGUCGCUAAAAAAAACCAAUGCAUUCAGAUGCGAUGCCCAGAAGAUGCAGUAACGUUAAAGCGCUUUAUAGAAAGGGAAUGCGCAUAUGACUUUCUUACUGGACUUAAUGUUGAACUUGAUCCAGUAAGGGUACAAAUAUUGGAAAAAGAGGAACUUUCAUCACUGAAUGAAGCAAUUUCAAUUGUACGGGCUAAAGAAGGGCGUAAGAGUGUUAUGCUUGACACUCAAGCCGGAGAAGGAUCAACAUUUGUUGUAAAGGGGGCUGGGCAAAAGGAAAAUAGCAUGCUACAGCCAUCGGACAAUUCUACCAAGCCAAUAAAUGCUUCAAAACAAUUCAAUAGAGAUUCCUUCUAUUGCACCUACUGUAAUAUCGCCACAUAAGAGAGAUGCUGGAAGCUGAACGGUAAACCACAGAACAAUAACCAUAAGGGCGAGAAAGGAAGACAUGCUUAUGUUGCAAGUACUCACCAACAUGACUAAUUCUGCUAAGUCAAAUCCGGAGAUCAGUCAAGAAGAUAUUAAAAGGCUGAAAGGUUUGCUUAGUUCUUUAGACAAAAGUAAUCCAGCCGAGACAGGUACAUGUUCUCUAACAUUCUCAGGUAUCUCUUCUCUUUGUUGUACUGCUAAUGUCAUGACAAGUAAUUUCUUCCCGUGGAUAGUUUAUUCUAGAGCAACAGACCACAUGACCUCUUCUUCUAAAUACUUUUCGUCCUAUACCCAUUGACUAAGCCAUAGAAAAAUUACCAUUGCUGAUGGUUCUUUCGCUACUGUAGUCGGAUAUGGAGCUGUUCGCUUAAAUUCUCUAUGCCUUAAAAAUGUGCUUCAUGUUCCAAAAUUGUUUGCUAAUCUUAUUUCAAUUCAAAAGGUUCAUGUUCGCUUUAAUUGCCAAGUAAUUUUUCUCCCUUCCUAUUGUAUUUUCUAGGAACAGGAAACCAAGAAGAUGAUUGGGCUUGCUAAAGUCAGAAACGGGCUCUAUUACUUGAAAAACCUGAACCUAAAGAAUGAAGCUUUGAAUUCUCUCCCUCGCUCCUUCAUAUUUGAGUCAGUCAUAUUUAGUGAAUAAAUAAUUUGGCUUUAUCAUCAUCGUUUGGGUCAUCCUUCUUUUCAAAUUGUCAAGAUUAUGUUCCCUCUAUUUUUUAAGGGUUUAACAAUAGUGUUUUCAUUGCAAUGAUUGUGAACUAGCCAAACAUAGGCGUGUUUCUUUUUCUGUCAAUAAUACAAGAACUAUGUUUC